rnacentral:lncRNA from 1 species
GGGCACAGUGAUGUGCACCUAUCAGGAAGCUGCUACAGGAGGAUCUCUUGAGCCCAGGUAGAUAUAAGAUGUAUAAGAAGUCUUAACGGUAUGAGAAAGCCUACUUCCUUUUGUGUACUUCAGUUUUUGUCAGAUAUUAGUUGUUUUUACACAAGUUUUGUAUUGAAGCUUUUUAUAGCUAUAUUGUUAACACAGUAGUGAGUUAAAUAAAAUGAACUUUGCCUAAUAAACUACAGAAGAGUAUGUAGUAGUUUAUUUCACUCUACAGUAUUUUAUACACUGUAUUUCUUCUGUCAUUAAUGGUAUACUCAGGACACUUAAAAAGACCAUCUGACUUUUGUACUCUGUUGCUAGUGAUUUAGGUUUCAUGGCCUAACCCAAAUUAAUUUUGAUCCUGUUAUUCUUUAGUAAUGCUUUCAGCAUUGCUGAGAUCAGAAGGACUACUUUGGUACAAUUUUAUAUUAGCAUAGCUUGUUACUGUGCUCUUGAAGAGCAGUUCUUGGAAACUUUAGUGGAUUAAGUCUUCCGCAGUAUAUGUGGGAAGUUUUAAUUGUGAAUCUGAAGUUCAAAUUGGGGCAGGUUACAGUAUAAAAAUUAGUUAUUUGAGACAAUUUAGAGCUGUGUUCAACUGGAGGAAAAAUAAAAAAAAUUUAGAACCAUGCCACACUUUUCAGUACACAUUCUGGCUGUUUUGGGAUUUAGUAGCACUUAUAAUCAGGUGUGAUAAGAUUAAAGAAUGUCAGAAUUUCUUUUUUUUUUUUUUUUUUUUUUGUUUGAGACGGAGUCUCACUCUGUCACCCAGGCUGGAGUGCAGUGGCACGAUCUUGGCUCACUGCAAGCUCUGCCUCCUGGAUUCAUGCUAUUCUCCUGCCUUAGUCUCCUGAGUAGCUGGGACUACAAGCGCCUGCCACCACGCCUGGCUAAUUUUUGUAUUUUUAGUAGAGACGAGGUUUCACUGUGUUAGCCAGGAUGGUCUCGAUCUCCUGACCUCAUAAUCCGCCCGCCUCGGCCUCCCAUAGUGCUGGGAUUACAGGCGUGAGCCACCGCGUCCGGCUGUCAGAAUUUCUUUUAAUGCUACACAUAUAUAAGCAAAUAAUGUUUUUAAGAAGCUAAC